rnacentral:snoRNA from 1 species
ACGGACUGGCUGCCUCCUGCACGCCCCCCCCUGGGGGGGGCGGGGCUUUCUCCGUCUGCCACAGACACGUUCCAGGGCGCUGUGACCGCCUGGACAGGUCAAGGGCGCUGCCGCUGCCCGGGGACACGGUU